rnacentral:rRNA from 1 species
AUUGAACGCUGGCGGCAUGCUUUACACAUGCAAGUCGAACGGCAGCACGGGUGCUUGCACCUGGUGGCGAGUGGCGAACGGGUGAGUAAUGCAUCGGAACGUGCCCAUGAGUGGGGGAUAGCCCGGCGAAAGCCGGAUUAAUACCGCAUACGCCCUUAGGGGGAAAGCGGGGGAUCUUCGGACCUCGCGCUAUUGGAGCGGCCGAUGUCGGAUUAGCUAGUAGGUGAGGUAAAGGCUCACCUAGGCGACGAUCCGUAGCUGGUCUGAGAGGAUGAUCAGCCACACUGGGACUGAGACACGGCCCAGACUCCUACGGGAGGCAGCAGUGGGGAAUUUUGGACAAUGGGCGCAAGCCUGAUCCAGCCAUGCCGCGUGAGUGAAGAAGGCCUCGGU